rnacentral:rRNA from 1 species
AGAGUUUGAUCCUGGCUCAGGAUGAACGCUGGCGGCGUGCUUAACACAUGCAAGUCGAACGGACUCAUAUUGAAACCUAGUGAUUUAUGAGUUAGUGGCGGACGGGUGAGUAACGCGUGGAAAACCUGCCGUAUACUGGGGGAUAACACUUAGAAAUAGGUGCUAAUACCGCAUAAGCGCACAGCUUCGCAUGAAGUGGUGUGAAAAACUCUGGUGGUAUACGAUGGUUCCGCGUCUGAUUAGCUUGUUGGCGGGGUAAUGGCUCACCAAGGCGACGAUCAGUAGCCGGCCUGAGAGGGUGAACGGCCACAUUGGGACUGAGACACGGCCCAAACUCCUACGGGAGGCAGCAGUGGGGAAUAUUGCACAAUGGGGGAAACCCUGAUGCAGCGACGCCGCGUGAGUGAAGAAGUAUUUCGGUAUGUAAAGCUCUAUCAGCAGGGAAGAAAUAGCGACCUUUGGGUCGCCAGACGGUACCUGAUUAAGAAGCCCCGGCUAACUACGUGCCAGCAGCCGCGGUAAUACGUAGGGGGCAAGCGUUAUCCGGAUUUACUGGGUGUAAAGGGAGCGUAGACGGCAGCACAAGUCAUGAAGUGAAAACCCUCGGCUUAACCCCAGAAAUGCCUUAGAAACUGUGCAGCUUGAGAUGCAGGAGAGGGAAGUAGAAUUUCUUGUGGAGCGGUGGAAUGAGUAGAUAUUAGGAGGGACACCAGUCGCGAAGGGGGGCUCACUGGUUCUGUAACUGACGUUGAGGCUCGAAAGCAUGGGGAGCAAACAAGAUUAGAUACCCUGGUAGUCCACCCCGUAAACGAUG